CCUACGGGAGGCAGCAGUGGGGAAUAUUGAGCAAGCAGCGCAAGCCUGAUCCAAUCAUGCCAAGCGUGUGAAGAAGGCCUUCGCGGUUGGGAUGCACUUUCAGUGGGGAGGAAGGGUGUUGUUUUAAUAGAGCAGCAUUUUGACGUUACCCACAGAAGAAGCACCGGCUAACUCCAGCCAGCAGCCGCGGUAAUACGGAGGGUGCAAGUGUUAAUCGGAAUUACUGGGAGUAAAGCGCGCGCAGUGGUGUUUUUUAAGUCGGAUGUGAAAGCCCCGGGCUCAACCUGGUCAUUGCAUCUGAUACUGGGAAGCUAGAGUAUAGAGAGGGGGGUAGAAUUCCAAGUGUAGCGGUGAAAUCCGUAGAGCAGGAAGGACAACCAUUGGGGAAGGCGGCCCCCUGGCACAAUACUGACGCUCAGGUGCGAAAGGGUGGGGAGCAAACAGGAUUAGAUACCCUGGUAGUCCACGCCGUAAACGCUGUCUACUAGCUGUUCGCGUCCUUGUCUUGUCAGUAGCGCAGCUAACGCGAUAAGUAGACCGCCUGAAGACGU
rnacentral:rRNA from 1 species